ACGCUGGCGGCAGGCCUAACACAUGCAAGUCGAGCGGUAGAGAGAAGCUUGCUUCUCUUGAGAGCGGCGGACGGGUGAGUAAUGCCUAGGAAUCUGCCUGGUAGUGGGGGAUAACGUUCGGAAACGGACGCUAAUACCGCAUACGUCCUACGGGAGAAAGCAGGGGACCUUCGGGCCUUGCGCUAUCAGAUGAGCCUAGGUCGGAUUAGCUAGUUGGUGAGGUAAUGGCUCACCAAGGCGACGAUCCGUAACUGGUCUGAGAGGAUGAUCAGUCACACUGGAACUGAGACACGGUCCAGACUCCUACGGGAGGCAGCAGUGGGGAAUAUUGGACAAUGGGCGAAAGCCUGAUCCAGCCAUGCCGCGUGUGUGAAGAAGGUCUUCGGAUUGUAAAGCACUUUAAGUUGGGAGGAAGGGCAGUAAAUUAAUACUUUGCUGUUUUGACGUUACCGACAGAAUAAGCACCGGCUAACUCUGUGCCAGCAGCCGCGGCAAUACAGAGGGUGCAAGCGUUAAUCGGAAUUACUGGGCGUAAAGCGCGCGUAGGUGGUUUGUUAAGUUGGAUGUGAAAUCCCCGGGCUCAACCUGGGAACUGCGUUCAAAACUGACUGACUAGAGUAUGGUAGAGGGUGGUGGAAUUUCCUGUGUAGCGGUGAAAUGCGUAGAUAUAGGAAGGAACACCAGUGGCGAAGGCGACCACCUGGACUAAUACUGACACUGAGGUGCGAAAGCGUGGGGAGCAAAC
rnacentral:rRNA from 1 species